GGAAGGGAGGGAGGAGGUUAGCAGGGAUGUGAUAGAAUUUACUAUGGAAAAAUGGAAUGAGUGCCAGGAUUUCUUAGAGAAGCAUCAUCGUAACAGAACUAUAACGCACAGAUUGCUGAAUCUGAUAAAUGAUAAAGCAGUCUCUGGUUUCCAGAGGGUUAUGCAGUGCAGGGAAAAGUAAGUGACAUUAGACAGAUUUUUUUUUUCCAAAAUUGAUCCUGCAGCCAAGAGACAAUAAAGAAAGGAAACCCCUGAAGGAGAUUUCCCAGAUGUCCUUAUGGAAGGGGCCUCUCCCUCCAAACAACAGCCUCCACACCCACCUUGCGGUCCUCAGUGCCAGAAGUCGCCUCAAACAAGAUGGGGUCUCAUUAUGCUGCCCAGGCUGGUCUCAAACUGUGGGCCUCAAGGGAUCCUCUUACCUCAGCGUCCUGAAUAGCUGAGACUGCAGACGUCUCCAUACCCGUAGUGGUUAUACACAAUGUACGACAGUGCACUUGCGCCAAUCACCACAAGGUUUCAUCAUUGCACUGCAAGCAUUCAGGAAGAAAAUAAAAUAAACAAAUGAAAAAGCUUUGGUCACAGAUAAUGGCAACUAUUGUCAGGGGGGAAAAAAACUCUUGGGUAAUCUGUCAAGAGAGUAAUAUUUAGCAGUGUGUGUUAACUAAAUGUGUCACCUAUCUCUGCCAAAUAUAGAAACGUGCUAUCAAUACUUACAUUCCUGAGUUUAUGCAUUUUAAGUGUCAAACCAUGCAGCG